CACCGCUGCAACCGGGCCAGUCACUCAAGGGGGCCCGGCCGCCCUGCGACCAGACGCCAUGUUUUGCGGCCCCGGCCGCACAUUUAAGAGGCCCAUCCUGUUAGGGCCACCCUAUGAGUAUGGAUUUCCAGAGGGCCCGGCCGGCGCUGUGGACCCCAGUCAUUCCUCCCAGGUAUCAGAGAGCCACGCGGAAGGAAGGAGAGGGUGUCGAGUGGGAACUGACUCCCAUCAACCUGAGCCACCACUGGACCCCAGGGAAAGUCACCCUCCUGCAUCUAAAAGGUAGGAAACAGGAGGGUGACCAGAGAGACAGACACAUAUUUUAGGUAGGGAAAACAUCUUUGUGCCUCUAGAAUACAAUGACUCAAGUAAGAUAAUAAGUAAAUAAU